ACUCCUACGGGAGGCAGCAGUGGGGAAUUUUGCGCAAUGGGGGAAACCCUGACGCAGCAACGCCGCGUGAGUGAUGAAGGCCCUUGGGUCGUAAAGCUCUGACAGAGGGAAAGAAGUGUAGAGUGGCUAAUAUCCACAUUACUUGACGGUACCCUCAAAGGAAGCACCGGCUAACUCCGUGCCAGCAGCCGCGGUAAUACGGGGGGUGCAAGCGUUGUUCGGAUUUAUUGGGCGUAAAGCGCGUGUAGGCGGUUUUAUAAGUCUGAUGUGAAAGCCCUGGGCUCAACCCGGGAAGUGCAUUGGAUACUGUAAGACUUGAAUACGGGAGAGGGCAGUGGAAUUCCUAGUGUAGGAGUGAAAUCCGUAGAUAUUAGGAGGAACACCGGUGGCGAAGGCGGCUGCCUGGACCGAUAUUGACGCUGAGACGCGAAAGCGUGGGUAGCAAACAGGAUUAGAUACCCUGGUAGUCCACGCCGUAAACGAUGAGAACUAGGUGUCGCGGGUA
rnacentral:rRNA from 1 species